CCAGUCGGCCGGACAGCCGCUGCCGCAAACGCCGAAAGGUUGCGGGGGAGGAAAGUCCGGGCUCCAAGGAAACACGGUGCCGGGUAACGCCCGGCGAGGGCGACCUUAGGGAAAGUGCCACAGAAAGCAAACCGCUCCGGUCCGAUCGCAAGAUUGUAUCGGAGUAAGGGUGAAAGGGUGGAGUAAGAGCCCACCGCGCUGCUGGCAACAGCAGCGGCAUGGUAAACCCCACCGGGAGCAAGACCGAAUAGGGACAGUAUUGGGCCAUGGAGCGAUCCUGGCCCGGGUCGGUUUCCAGACCAACUGUCCGGGUUGGUUGCGUGAGGUGCCUGGCAACAGGUGCCCCAGACGAAUGGCUGUCACGUCCGCGGAUGCGGGCCAUACAGAACCCGGCUUACAGGCCGGCUGGCACU
rnacentral:RNase_P_RNA from 2 species